AUUGAACGCUGGCGGCAGGCCUAACACAUGCAAGUCGAACGAGUGGCGGACGGGUGAGUAAUGUCUGGGAAAAUGCCCGAUGGAGGGGGCUAACUACUGGAAACGGUAGCUAAUACCGCAUACCAUCGGAUGUGCCCAGAUGGGAUUAGCUAGUAGGUGGGGUAACGGCUCACCUAGGCGACGAUCCCUAGCUGGUCUGCGAGGAUGACCAGCCACACUGGAACUGAGACUCGGUCCAGACGCCCACGUGAGGCAGCAGUGGGGAAUAUGGCCCAAUUGGCGCAAGCCUGAUGCAGCCAUGCCGCGUGUAUGAAGAAGGCCUUCGGUUUGUAAAGUACUUUCAGCGAGGAUGCGUUACUCGCAGAAGAAUCACCGGCUAACUCCGUGCCAGCAGCCGCGGUAAUUC
rnacentral:rRNA from 1 species